CCUACGGGGGGCAGCAGUGGGGAAUAUUGGACAAUGGGGGCAACCCUGAUCCAGCCAUGCCGCGUGUGUGAAGAAGGCCCUCGGGUUAUAAAGCACUUUCAGUGAGGAAGAACGCCUGGUGGUUAAUACCCAUCAGGAAAGACAUCACUCACAGAAGAAGCACCGGCUAACUCCGUGCCAGCAGCCGCGGUAAUACGGAGGGUGCGAGCGUUAAUCGGAAUUACUGGGCGUAAAGCGCGCGUAGGUGGCUUGAUAAGCCGGUUGUGAAAGCCCCGGGCUCAACCUGGGAACGGCAUCCGGAACUGUCAAGCUAGAGUGCAGGAGAGGAAGGUAGAAUUCCCGGUGUAGCGGUGAAAUGCGUAGAGAUCGGGAGGAAUACCAGUGGCGAAGGCGGCCUUCUGGACUGACACUGACACUGAGGUGCGAAAGCGUGGGUAGCAAACAGGAUUAGAUACCCGAGUAGUC
rnacentral:rRNA from 1 species